rnacentral:tRNA from 1 species
GCCUGGGUGGCUCAGCUGGUUGAGAAUCCAACUUCGGCUCGGGUCAUGAUCUCAUGGUUCGUGGGUUCAAGCCCCGCUUCAGGCU